rnacentral:rRNA from 1 species
UACGAAGGGGGCUAGCGUUGUUCGGAAUUACUGGGCGUAAAGCGCGCGCAGGCGGCCUUCCAAGUCAGUGGUGAAAGCCCGGAGCUCAACUCCGGAACUGCCAUUGAAACUGUAAGACUUGAGGAUGAGAGAGGUGAGUGGAACUGCGAGUGUAGAGGUGAAAUUCGUAGAUAUUCGCAAGAACACCAGUGGCGAAGGCGGCUCACUGGCCCGGUACUGACGCUGAGGUGCGAAAGCGUGGGGAGCAAACAGG